rnacentral:rRNA from 1 species
UGCGGUACACUGACCGUACUAAGGUAGCAUAAUAAUUUGCCUUUUAAUUGGAGGCUAGUAUGAAUGGUUUGACGUGAAAUAUACUGUCUCAACUAUAUUUAGUAGAAUUUAACCUUUAGGUGAAGAGGCCUAAAUUUUGUGGGAAGACAAGAAGACCCUAUUGAGCUUUAAAUAUUUGUGUUAGUGGGAACCUAAGAUUUAUAUGAUGGUCAUUACCUCUAAGUAUGUUGGUUGGGGCGACCGAGGAGUGUAAAAUAACCUCCUUGUAAUGUAAAGAAUUUGUUAUCAACGAACCUGUAAUAUAGGUUAUUCGGUAGUUACCAUAGGGAUAACAGCGUAAUUCUUUUGAAGAGUUCAUAUCGAAGAAAGAGAUUGCGACCUCGAUGUUGGAUUAAGGUGUCCUAAGGGUGAAGAAGCUC